rnacentral:lncRNA from 1 species
GUGGAAUUUGAGGCCUCCCCAACGACCCACAAAAAAGGAGGGAGAAAUGAAAGGAAGAAGAAAAAUUGAGCAUUUGUUUUUCUCUGACAAAGAGCAAAAUGACAAGGAAAAUCAAGCUGAACUCUCCCCAGGCGGAAGAAAUCACAC